rnacentral:rRNA from 1 species
CCUACGGGUGGCAGCAGUGAGGAAUAUUGGUCAAUGGGCGAGAGCCUGAACCAGCCAAGUCGCGUGAGGGAGUACUGCCCUCUGGGUUGUACACCUCUUUUGUCGGGGAGCAAAAGCCGGACGUGUCCGGCUGUUAGAGUUCCCGAAGAAAAAGCAUCGGCUAACUUCGUGCCAGCCGCCGCGGUUAUACGUGGGGGGCGAGCGUUAUUCGGGUCCACUGGGUGUAAAGGGAGCGUAGACGGCCAAGCAAGCCAGGCGUGAAAGCCCGGGGGCCAACCCCGGGACUGGCCUUGGAAAUGGGUGGCUGGAGUGCGGGAGGGGCAGGCGGAAUGCCUGGUGUAGCGGUGAAAUGCGUAGAUAUCAGGAGGAACACCGGCGGCGAAGGCGGCCUGCGGGACCGCGACUGACGUUGAGGCUCGAAAGCGUGGGGAGCGAACAGGAUUAGAUACCCGUGUAGUC